CUAUUUUUUACUAGGAUUUCUGAUGCACUGGUUAAAAAUACAGCAGCCAAUAAUUCAGUUAAUUUACCAAGUGAUUUACCCUUCAAAGCUGCAGGGGUAGCUUUCCUGAAGAGUGCAAAAACUUCUUUAGCUUCCAAAAUGGUAUAUAGUACAAACAGUAAAGCUAAUAUAGACAAAUCUGAUCAUUCAUCAUCAACAAUAACUGCAUCUGAGAUUAAUAGCUCUACAGUAACCGUGGGGUCUAGGUCAACAAUUACUAUUUCUCAUCCAAGCCGUUUUUGUUUAACUGCUACACAUUCCCUGACUCUGCCAAGGAAAAGGGUAAAAUCAAAAUGAUAUCCUGAGGACCUAAGCACUGAUGAUUCCACCGUUUCAAAAGCUAAAUCACUUGUUACCAAAUUAUGGAAAAAAAA